UAAAUAAUUUAUGUGACAUGGAUUGUUUAAUAGUGAAAUUGAGUCCCAAAAGUUGUUUUCCAUUCAUCUCUUCUUCUUCUUCUUCUUCUUCUUCUUCUUCUCUUGAGUUGAUAUACUAAAUAUGUUGGAAGGUGCCUCUUAGUUUCCCAAAUAUAGAACUUACAUAGUAGGUGUCGUUGAAUCUGCAUUAGGCUAGGAGAUGUACGGAAAAGAACUUUUAAAACUCAAGAUCACUAUUAAAUAUUAGUUUUUAUUUUCGUGCCUUGAGAAUUUUGGUGACAU
rnacentral:lncRNA from 1 species